GGGUGGACUAGAUGAUCUUUAAAGGUCCCUUCCAACCCAAACCGUGCUAUGUUACUAUGAAAUAAAGUGCAAGCCUGACAGUUUUGUGGCUCAAUGCGCUAGACUAUGCUGAAUUUAGGACUACAUACAAGAUGGAGAACAUAGAAAAAUUUACCAAUACCCUUGAUGUAUUUCAUAAUGACCAGAAAAC